rnacentral:rRNA from 1 species
GACGAACGCUGGCGGCGUGCUUAACACAUGCAAGUCGAACGGUAAAGCCUAGCUUGCUAGGGGUGUUAGUGGGGCACGGGUGAGUAAUACGUGAGUAACCUACCUUUAACUCUGGGGUAAGACUGGAAAAAAGGGUCUAUUACCGGAUACGACAAAUCCCCGCGUGGGGUGUUGGUGGGAACGGUUAGGUGGUGGGUUUAGAUGGUGGCACGGACUAGCAGCUUGUUGGGGGGGUAACGGAACACCACGGCGACGACGGGUAGGCGGCCUGAGAGGGGGACCGCCCCCAAUGGGACUGAGGGACGGCCCAGACGCCAACGGGAGGCAGCGGGGGGGAAUAUUACACAAUGGGCGGACGCCUGAUGCGGCGACGCCGCGUGCGGGAUGACGGCCUUCGGGUUGUAAACCGCUUUCGCCUGUGACGAAGCGUGAUUGACGGUACUGGAAGAAGAAGCACCGGCUAACUACGUG